AUUGAACGCUGGCGGCAGGCCUAACACAUGCAAGUCGAACGAGUGGCGGACGGGUGAGUAAUGUCUGGGAAACUGACUGAUGGAGGGGGAUAACUACUGGAAACGGUAGCUAAUACCGCAUACCAUCGGAUGUGCCCAGAUGGGAUUAGCUGGUAGGUGGGGUAACGGCUCACCAAGGCGACGAUCCCUAGCUGGUCUGAGAGGAUGACCAGCCACACUGGAACUGAGACACGGUCCAGACUCCUACGGGAGGCAGCAGUGGGGAAUCUUGCACAAUGGGCGCAAGCCUGAUGCAGCCAUGCCGCGUGUAUGAAGAAGGCCUUCGGGUUGUAAAGUACUUUCAGCGGGGAGGCGUUACCCGCAGAAGAAGCACCGGCUAACGCCGUACCAGCAGCCGCGGUAAUUC
rnacentral:rRNA from 1 species